UGCAAGUCGAACGAGACGGGAUGGAAUGACCCUUCGGGGGAAUGAAAUCCUAGAAAGUGGCGAACGGGUGAGUAACGCGUGGGUAACCUGCCCUAUGGAAAGGAAUAGCCUCGGGAAACUGGGAGUAAUGCCUUAUAAUAUACGAGAGUCGCAUGGCUUUUGUAUUAAACGCUCCGGUGCCAUAGGAUGGACCCGCGUCCCAUUAGCUAGUUGGUGAGAUAACAGCCCACCAAGGCAACGAUGGGUAACCGGUCUGAGAGGGCGAACGGUCACACUGGAACUGAGACACGGUCCAGACUCCUACGGGAGGCAGCAGUGGGGAAUAUUGCGCAAUGGGGGCAACCCUGACGCAGCAAUACCGCGUGAGUGAAGAAGGUUUUCGGAUCGUAAAGCUCUGUUAUUGGGGAAGAAAAAAGACGGUACCCAAGAAGAAAGUCCCGGCUAACUACGUGCCAGCAGCCGCGGUAAUACGUAGGGGACAAGCGUUGUCCGGAUUUACUG
rnacentral:rRNA from 1 species